AAAAAAGAAUAUAUACGAUUGCAUUGCAUAUACUAACGGAUGCGAUCAUACCAGCACUAAUGCACCGGAUCCCAUCAGAACUCCGCAGUUAAGCGUGCUUGGGCCAGAGUAGUACUAGGAUGGGUGACCUCCCGGGAAGUCCUCGUGUUGCAUCCCCCCUUUAUGUUUAACCUUUUUUUUUUU
rnacentral:rRNA from 1 species